rnacentral:snRNA from 1 species
CAUCUUGCGCAGUGGCAAUAUCGUAACCAAUGAAGGUCUCCUGAGGUGCGAUUAUUGCUAGUUGAAAACCUUUUUUUGUAAUUUAAUGUGUGUGUUUAAAAAAAAAACUCAGUUUUCAGUCAGUCUGUAACU